rnacentral:rRNA from 1 species
AACGAACGCUGGCGGCGUGCCUAACACAUGCAAGUCGAGCGCGAAUGGAGCAAUCCUAGUAGAGCGGCGCACGGGUGCGUAACACGUGGAUAAUCUGCCUGGGUGUCUGGGAUAACCAGUCGAAAGAUUGGCUAAUACCGGAUAAGCCCCCGGGAGCUUCGGCUCUUGAGGGAAAAGGUGGCCUCUGUAUACAAGCUAUCACAUCCAGAUGAGUCCGCGGCCCAUCAGCUAGUUGGCGGGGUAAUGGCCCACCAAGGCAACGACGGGUAGCUGGUCUGAGAGGACGAUCAGCCACACUGGAACUGAGACACGGUCCAGACUCCUACGGGAGGCAGCAGUGGGGAAUUUUGCGCAAUGGGCGAAAGCCUGACGCAGCAACGCCGCGUGUGUGAUGAAGGUCUUUGGAUUGUAAAGCACUUUCGACCGGGACGAAAACCCCUGGGCUAAUACUCCAGGGCUUGACGGUACCGGGAGAAGAAGCACCGGCUAACUCUGUGCCAGCAGCCGCGGUAAUACAGAGGGUGCAAGCGUUGUUCGGAAUUAUUGGGCGUAAAGCGCGUGUAGGCGGCUUUGCAAGUCGGAUGUGAAAGCCCUCGGCUCAACCGAGGAAGUGCGUUCGAAACUGCAGAGCUUGAGUACCGGAGAGGGUGGCGGAAUUCCCCAAGUAGAGGUGAAAUUCGUAGAUAUGGGGAGGAACACCGGUGGCGAAGGCGGCCACCUGGACGGUCACUGACGCUGAGACGCGAAAGCGUGGGUAGCAAACAGGAUUAGAUACCCUGGUAGUCCACGCCGUAAACGAUGAGAACUAGGUGUCGUGGGUGUUGACCCCCGCGGUGCCGUAGCUAACGCAUUAAGUUCUCCGCCUGGGAAGUACGGUC